UGGAAGAUUCUAUUGUCAAAAUGUAGGGCAUGCUCCUAAAGUGUUAUUCUCUUCUAGAGUGAAUGAUGGAAUAUGCGACUGCAGUGAUGGGAGUGAUGAGUAUGAUGAUAAAGGGAAAUGCCAUAAUACAUUUUAGACUGCUAGAUACUUAAAGGACUUGUCCAGCAGCUUAGAGGAUGCUGUGGACGUCCAUGACAGUUUAGCUGCUGAAGCUGAACAUGGUGAUGCUUCCAGAAAGGAAAGGUCCUCAGUUCAAGGUGUAGAACAGGUAUAUAUUGAGAUGCAUUUCUUUGGCGUAAUACUAGACAACAUUGACAGUUGAAGUUUUUAGAAUAAAAAAUAUAGUUCACUAACAUUGUAUACAUUUCUUGUUUAAUAUUUGGUGAUGCUAUAAUUUGAUUGUAGUAUAAACUGUCAUGUAAUAUGAUUUUGUAAGCCGAGUAGACUAAAUACUGAAAUGAUAUUUUUGAGUAAUUAAUAAAUUAUUUUGUUG